UGAAAGAGAGCUUGCUCUCUGGAUCAGUGGCGAACGGGUGAGUAACACGUGAGCAAUCUGCCCCUGACUCUGGGAUAAGCGUUGGAAACGACGUCUAAUACCGGAUACGAGCUGCGAAGGCAUCUUCAGCAGCUGGAAAGAACUUCGGUCAGGGAUGAGCUCGCGGCCUAUCAGCUAGUUGGUGAGGUAAUGGCUCACCAAGGCGUCGACGGGUAGCCGGCCUGAGAGGGUGACCGGCCACACUGGGACUGAGACACGGCCCAGACUCCUACGGGAGGCAGCAGUGGGGAAUAUUGCACAAUGGGCGAAAGCCUGAUGCAGCAGCGCCGCGUGAGGGACGACGGCCUUCGGG
rnacentral:rRNA from 1 species